rnacentral:rRNA from 1 species
CCGGUAGCUACGUGCGGAAAAGAUAACCGCUGAAAGCAUCUAAGUGGGAAACUUGCCUCAAGAUGAGUCUUCCCUGAGGCUUUAACUUAAGCCUCCUAAAGGGACGUUAAAGACUAUAACGUUGAUAGGUCAGAUGUGUAAGCACUGUGAAGUGUUGAGCUAACUGAUACUAAUGACCCGUGAGACUUAACCUUACAACACCUAA